rnacentral:rRNA from 1 species
CGAAGGUCCCAAGCGUUAUCCGGAUUUAUUGGGUUUAAAGGGUGCGUAGGCGGAUUAUUAAGUCAGUGGUGAAAGCCCCAGGCCCAACCUGGGAAUUGCCAUUGAUACUGAUGAUCUUGAGUACAUUUGAGGUAGGCGGAAUGUGUCAUGUAGCGGUGAAAUGCUUAGAUAUGACACAGAACACCAAUUGCGUAGGCAGCUUACUAAACUGUAACUGACGCUGAGGCACGAAAGCGUGGGGAGCAAACAGGAUUAGAUACCCUGGUAGUCCACGCCCUAAACGAUGAUCACUCGAUGUGUGCGAUACACUGUACGCGUCCGAGCGAAAGCAUUAAGUGAUCCACCUGGGGAGUACGGCCGCAAGGCUG